CUCUCUCUCAUCAGCAAGGAAGGAGUCAUCCAAAGGAUGAGGUGGUGCUUAAUCUCUCUCGUGUAUUCCUCUUCCGCCCACCUCCAAUCUCAGUCGCCGUUCUAGAUUCGGUCUUCGAAUUUGCGCCCGAGUGUAGGAGGAACCGGAAUCUCCUUUUCCUUCCUCGUCGUCGUCUUCUGCACUCCGUAUAGAGGUUGUUAACAAGACUGCAGCAACCAACCAACCUUUGCCCCUAGAACGAACCUGAUGGCUAUGUGGUCCAUUUGGAUGUUCACUAUUCCUUCUCAAGAGGCUCUUUUUCGCAUCACUCAAUGUUGCUAUACCCUUCUUCUGGAAAUCUUUUCCUCUUGUCUGCUCUGCUGAUACACUUGCCUUCUUUGCAAUCUUGGAUGGCUGGAAAGAACCGAGUAGAGGAUGGGAAUGGGAAUGGGAUUAGAGACUUCUGAAGAUUCUAUGUCUUCUCUUCCUUGGAAUGAAUGAAUGAUUCUCCAUUCAGCUUCUAUGUUCAGCAUAUCGAAUACUCAAAGCCCAGCCACCACAAAUCUAAACAGCCGUUGGCAAAUGACCGGAGGAGCUGAUGCUGUCGAAAAGGGUUUUCUUUCCUUUGUGUUAAAAAGUUGGGUUCGCACGAGCGAUGGUGGAAGAUCUGAGCUUCAUCUUCGCCUUCCUUAUGUACUCGGAGAAAUGAUCUGAUGACCUUCCACUGCUACCCUCUCUCGAGACACUAGCGGUAGGGACAUGGCACUGACGACGAUGAUCACGUGCCUCUGCUUCACUUGUCUUCGACGCAUCGUUCCUCAUCAUGUCACCUGGAUUCG